AUGCUCUGGUUUCUCUUCAGAUCAAAUGUAUCUUUCGCCUUUUGCUAAAGAUUUCCAUGGAGAGGAACAACUCUGAGAUUUUGAUCAAUUUUUUGAGGCCUUGAUUUGGCAAGGCU
rnacentral:snRNA from 1 species